GUGAAUCAGACAUGUGGUUUUGGGUUCAUGCCAGUGUAGGGGCUCGGCAUUGAGAUCACUGAUGUCACCUGACACUGAUUCAUGCAACAAUGGACAAGCCAAUAGGCUGAAGGAGAAGGACUGUCAGGUACAAAUAAUGACUGGUGUGAGACAUCAAAACCAAGGUGCCACACUCAGUUUUGCUAGAAGGGCAGCUAAUGAAAGAAAUACUAGCUACACGAUGAAGACCAUUGGAAUAUUGUUGCUCUUGUUAUUUUUCACCAUGAGUUUCUCUUGGCAAGUGCAAAGUCAAGACAGAAUGUAGCUCAUACUUGAAACAAGAGCAGAUGGAUACACCAUGGAUUUGAAUUAUGCAAAGGGAGUUUCAUCAACCCUGCUGUACCGAUCUUCAUCUCAAAUAAUUGAUACUGUUAUUAAUAAAAGCCAUGAC